GAGUUUGAUCGUGGCUCAGAUUGAACGCUGGCGGCAUGCCUUACACAUGCAAGUCGAACGGCAGCAUGAUCUAGCUUGCUAGAUUGAUGGCGAGUGGCGAACGGGUGAGUAAUACAUCGGAACGUGCCCUGUAGUGGGGGAUAACUAGUCGAAAGAUUAGCUAAUACCGCAUACGACCUGAGGGUGAAAGUGGGGGACCGCAAGGCCUCAUGCUAUAGGAGCGGCCGAUGUCUGAUUAGCUAGUUGGUGGGUAAAGGCCCACCAAGGCGACGAUCAGUAGCUGGUCUGAGAGGACGAUCAGCCACACUGGGACUGAGACACGGCCCAGACUCCUACGGGAGGCAGCAGUGGGGAAUUUUGGACAAUGGGCGAAAGCCUGAUCCAGCAAUGCCGCGUGUGUGAAG
rnacentral:rRNA from 1 species